GGUCUCAAGCAACUUGGCCAAAACAGUUACCCUUGACAGCAUUGUUAUGUUGUGGUUCAUGCCAUUCAAUAUCUUGAUGACGUUUGUUCUUGGCACAGCAAUAGGAUGGGUACUAAUAAAAACCACAAAAGCUCCUCAACAUCUAAGAGGUCUUAUAUUGAGUUGCUGUGCAGCAGGGAACGUGGGACACAUACCCUUAAUUGUAGUUCCAGCAAUCUGUGCGGAGAAGGGCCCCUUUGGAG